UUGAAAAUUAUAGAAAUAUAACUUGUUCCUCUUCUUGCUAAUGUUACUAUAUCUUUUUUAUUUCAUUUCAAAAAAAAAAAUUAAUUUUUACUUCAGAUUCUGAUCUUUGAUUCAUAUUCUUAUCUUUGAAAUAAUAAUAUCAUUCAAAUAAGAAAGAAGAGAAAUAUUCGAACUUGAAUCUUUUGUUUUCUAAUUUAAAUAAUGUAAAAAUGGAAUGUAAGUAGGCGAGGGGGCGGAUGUAGCCAAGUGGAUCUUCAUUUAGAAUAUAUCUGGUUGAUAAAAGAGUGGAAAGACUGAAAAGUCCCUUUAAAAAAAUGACUUAAAUUACUAAUCGAGGGCUACGAUGGUUGAAGCAACGGUCCGUCACUAGCCUAAUGGUCGAUCGGAUCGUCCAUCGCACGACGGUUAGAAAAGAACACACUGCCUCAAUGUGACGGUCUCAGUGAUGGUCCAUGGAAAAUUCAACGAUCUUUUGGAAGGUCCGUCGCAUGUUGACCAAGAUAAGUCCAUACUGCCUUAGCGGUGACAAUCUCAGUGAUGGUCCGUCGUCCUGGCCGUCACACUUAAGAUAGAAAAGAGAGUUAUUGCCUUGGUUGUGAUGGUCCAAGCGAUGGUCCGUCGUACACUCGAUGGUCCAUCAACCUAUCCAUCACACCUAGGUGGUUCCAACAACUCUCGAUAAAACGACCAUAACUUCCCACCCUAAUGAUUGAUUUGACCGAAAUUGGUAUCGUUGGAAAGAUAAUUCAAUGCUCUACAUGAAAAAAAGUCAAAUUUAAAAAAAUUCUAUAUGGUUAAUUAAACACCAAUCACUUAGGAUGUUUUUACUCAAUAUAACAGGGCCGGAAUUACACUUUACUUGACACGCUCAAGGCUCAAAUUACAAGAGAACUUUGUGGGGUCUUACAAUUAUCUCCCUUUGAAACAUUCGUCCUUGAAUGUCGAUAGUUAGACUAGGAACACAGGAAAACAGAGUACACAUAGCUAAAGAAAUUAGCUAAACAGGCUCAAAAUCUUUCUAAACUAUUAAAUACCUUGGAAAUUACAAGAACUCAUGCAAGAAUAGAUAUAUAGAUGAACUUUAGAUUAGAAGGGAUGAAUUAAGGAAGAAUAAUACCUUCGGAUCGAUCUGAACUCGCAGAAAAGAGGUGCGAGUACUUGGCUCGCAUGUCUACUUUUGUCUCCCAAGUAGCACCCUCAACUGACUGGUUCCGCCAUAAAACUUUGACCAAGGGAACCUCUUUUUUCCUCAGCCUAUGGAUCUGAAAAUUUAGGAUCUCAAAAGGAAUAUCAUCGAAGGAAAUACUAUUCUAAAUAUCAGCACUCUCUAAGGGAUCUACUACAACAGAAUCACCAAUAUGCUUUUUAAGCAUGGAAACAUGAAAAAUAGGAUGAAUGACUGAUAACUCCACAGGCAACUCAACCUCAUAGGCUACUUUCCCAACACGGCUCAAAACUCUAUACGAGCCAACAUAACGGGGACAAAACUUUUCCUUUUUACCAAACUUCUUCACCUCUUUCAUGGGUGAAAUCUUCAAGUACACCAAAUCACCUACUUCAAACUCAAGAUCGCUUCUCCUCAUAGCGGCAUAUGACUUUUGACGACUCUGAGUUGUCUUUAACCUCUCUCUAAUCAACUUAACUUUCUCUAUAGCUUCAAAAACUACAUGAGGUCCAAUCACGACAGCUUCACCCACUUUAAAGCAACCUUCUACAUCUUCUACCAUACAAGGCCUUAACUGGUGCCAUUCCGAUGCUAGAUGGGUAACUAUUGUUAUAGGUAAACUCUAUUAAUGGCAAAUGCUCAUCCCAACUACCUUUGCAAUCAAGACCACACACCCUCAACAUAUUUUCUAGGGUCUGAAUUGUCCUCUUACUAGACCAUAUUUUUGCGGAUGAAAAGCAGAACUCAAAAGAAUUGGGUACUAAGACAAUGCUGAAACGCCCUCCAAAACUGAGAAGUAAAUUGAGUACCCCUAUAUGAAAUGAUAGACGAGGUAACUCCAUGCAUCUUGACUAACUCCUAGAUAUAUAAUCUAGCAUAAUCCUCCACUGUAUAAGAUGUAUGCAUGGGAAAAAGUGUACGAACUUAGUCAGCCUAUCUAUAAUAACCCAAAUAGAAUCAUGAUGACGACACGAAAGAGGUAACCCGAUCACGAAGUCCAUAUUCACUACCUCCUAUUUCCAAGUGGGUAUACUAAACUCUUGCAUCACACCACCAGGUCUUUGGUGCUCUACCUUAAAAUGUUGGCAUGUUGCACACAUUUUUACAAACUCAGCUAUAUCCUUCUUUAUAACAUUCCACCAAUAGAUUUCCCAUAAGUCGUGGUACAUUUUGGUAGUGCCGGGAUGAAUAGAGUACCGCGCGCCAUGCACUUCAGCCAUAAUCCUCUUCUUCAUAUCAUCAACACAUGGAACGUAUAAUCUACCCUGCAAUCUCAACACGGUAUCUCCCCAUUGGGAGAAAAUCUCUACCUUUUGGCCCUUAACUGUCUCUUUCAGUCUGACCAAACUAAGAUCUCUAUCUUGCUUCUCCUUCACUUUCGAAACUAAAGAGGAUUCAAAACUACUUUGCACCAAAGCACUUCCCUCAGCUGAAUCAAGCAACCUAAUAUCCAAUCUAGCUAGAAAAUGCAUAUCACAAGCUAAAUCUUUCUUACCUUCCUCUACAUGAGCAACACUACCCAUACACAAUCUGCUAAGGGCAUCCGCCACUAUAUUGACCUUGCUCGGGUGAUACAACACACUCAUAUCAUAGUCUUUUAACAACUCUAACCACCUGCUCUACCUAAGAUUCAACUCCCUCUGAGGAAACACGUACUGCAGGCUCUUAUGAUCAGUAAACAUAUCAACAUGAACACUAUAAAGAUAGUGUCUCCAGAUUGUCAAAGAAAAAACCACAGCAGCUAACUCAAGAUCAUGGGUUGGGUAAUUCUUCUCAUGCAGCUUUAAUUGUCUAGAGGCAUAGGCUAUAACCUUACCUCUUUGCAUCAACAUACAACCCAAACCAGCUCUAGAGGCAUCACAAUACACUAUAAAACCAUCUUUACCAUUAGGCAAAGUCAACACAGGGGCUGAAGUAAGUCGAGUCUUCAGCUCUAGAAAACUCUUCUGAUAGGAAUUUGACCACUUGAACUUAACUUUCUUUUGGGUCAACAGGGUCAUGAAAGAUGUAAUAGAAGAGAAACCUUCAUCAAGAUAGCGGUAAUAGCCUGCUAGACCUACGAAAUUUCUAAUGUCAGACGGAGAGAUAGAUCUAGGCCAAUUUCUUACAGCUUUUAUCCUUUAGGAAUCAACUCAAAUACCUUCGGCUGAAACAAUAUGACCCAGAAAGGCUACAGAACUUAGCCAAAAUUCACACUUACUGAAUUUGGCGAACAACUGGUGACCUCUAAGAGUUUGCAAGACAAUUAUAAGGUGAUCUGCAUGAUCAUGCUUAUUGUGGGAGUAGACAAGGAUGUCAUCUAUGAACACUAUGAAAAAUAUAUCAAAAUAUUGCUUGAACACUCGAUUCAUGAGGUCCAUAAAAGUUAUUGGGGCAUUGGUUAGCCUAAAAGACAUGACUAGAAACUCAAAGUGACCAUAGCUGGUUUGGAAGGCUGUCUUUGGAAUAUUACAUUCCCUCACUAUAAGUUGAUGAUAGCCAGAUCUAAGGUCUAUCUUGGAGAAAUAACUUGCACCUUGAAACUGAUCAAACAGGUUAUCAAUUCUCGGAAGGGGAUAUUUAUUUUUAACUAUGACCUUGUUAAGCUUACGAUAGUCAACGCACAUAUGCAAAGAACCAUCUUUCUUUCGUAUGAAUAAAAUUGGUACGCCCCAAGGAGAAAUACUGGGCCUUAUAAAACCUUUGUCUAAAAGAUCUUUGAGUUGCUCUUUCAACUCCUUAAGAUCAGAAGUUGCCAUACGGUAUGGCAGAAUAGAAAUAGGCUGAUUUUCAAGAAAAAAGUUAAUCCCAAAUUCUAUCUCUCCAUCGGGAGGUACCCUUGGGAUAUCUUCCGACAAAAUAGCUAGAAACUCAUUAACAAUGUUGACUGACUGAAUAGUUGGAGCCUCAAACUUAGUGUCUUUUACUCUAACUAGUUGAUAGAUGUAACCUUUGGAUAUUUCCUUUUUAGCUUUGAGAUAGGAGAUAAAAUGACUCUUGGGAGAUACCAAACUCCCAGACCACUCAAAAAUUGGUUCAUCAGGAAACUGAAACUUGGCCACAUAGGUAUGAUAGUUUAUAGAUACAUAACAAGAAUGAAGCCAAUCCAUAUCCAGAAUAAGCUCAAAAUCCACCAUGUCUAACUGUAUCAAAUCAACAUGUAUGACUCUAUGAAGAACAGUAACAGGAAAACCUCUAUACACUUGUUUAGGGACAACUGACUCCCCUAUAGGUGUAGAAACGAGGAAAGGCUCUGGGAUCUUUUUGAGAUUCAUUUUGAAAUUCACAGCCAUAAGUAGGGUCACAUAGGAGGGACUUGACCCGGGGUCCAACAACACAUAAACAUCAAAACAAAUAACACGAAACAUACCAGUAACAACAUUGUGAGACUCCUUCUGCUCCUAACGAGAUGGUAAGGCAUAGAGUCUGUUCUGGCGCUGACCGCCAGUAGUGCAAGAUAAAGCACCCUGAACAGGGGUGGUAGAAGGGCCAGAAGCUAGUGGACUAGUAGCCGCUGCCUAAGGUCGGGCAUCUAUGGUCCCCUACCUAGCAUACGGGCAAUGUCUAAGUCUAUGGCCUAGCUUUCCACAACCAAGAAAAGCCCUUAAAUCUAUGAAACACUCACUAGGAUAAUCCCUACCACACUUACCACAAGGAGGAUAACAGGGCCUGUUACCAACACUGUUCUGCAACCUAGACAUAAAAGACCUACUCCCUUGUUCCUGCCUUCCUCUUAUUAUUAAUAAUUAUAAUUGAGAAGGAUUUUUUGUAGCCACGACUUUGGUCGUAGUAAGUUUAAACCCAUAAACCCAGUCCACUUGCAUUUUGGCUCAACUUUAUCCCAGUUUUGCCGAGGGAGCAACCCCAUUUUUCAAGGCAUGGGAGCACUAGCUAAUGAAGGUGAUAGAAUAGAUGAACAUCUCUAAAACUGAGGGAGGUUCCCUCCAUAGAACCUAGGAUGACUAUACUCAUGCUGCUCAGAUCUAGCUCUCUUGUUACCCCUUACUCUCUCUCUGUCUAAUCUUAUCCACUUUUAUCUACUGUGCAUGCAUUAUCAACCUAGACAAAUCCAUAUCCCUAUAUAGCAUCGCAGUCCUACACUCUUUCCGCACCAACCGAGAAACAUCUAUCAUGAACUUGCUCAUACUAGUGCGGGUGUCAGAAAUUAAAUCAGGAGCAUCUUGGCCAACUGGUUAAACUUCAAGUAGUACUUCUUAACAGUCAUGGAGCCCUUCCUCAAGUGCAUAAACUCCUCAAUAUUUGCUUCCAUUAUCUAAAGCAGAAAGAACUUUUCCAAGAAUGCAUCUUGGAACACCUGCCAAGUCAUAGGAGUAGUAUCCUCACCUUGACCCUUCCUCUAUGAUACAAUCCAAUUAUAAGCUAUGUCAUUCAACUUGUAAGAUGCCAACUCAACACUUUUUUCCUUAGAAAUAUGCAUCACUUGCAUGAUCUUUCUCACCUCCUCAAGGUACAACUAUGGGUACUCACCUUCCCUGGACCCAUAUAACUCUGGAGAAUUCAUCCGCAUGAAAUCACAGAUCCUAGAAGUAGUUACAUCACCUCCCUGCUGAUUUAUAACUACGGCCUAGUUAUUGGCCUUAACAUUAGCGGUGACUGCAUGUGCUAACGCCUUAAAGGCUACUCGAAACUCAAUAUGAGACACAGUCUCAUUCAAAGGAUCAACAGGUGGGGGUUGUUCAUCAUUGUUUCCAUGGGCAUUUGCUCUUUGGAGAGGAAUUUUCUAAAAUAGGAGAGUACAAAUUAUUAGAUGAGAGAGACAACCGUAGGCACGAUAGAAUCUAAAAGAGAGAAAUAACUUUUCCUAAAAUAUUUUGUAGCCUCAUAUUUUGUAGCCACUUUCUCAUAGAUGUGCCGUGCUACACACUGAUGAUCAAGACUCUACUCAACGCGACUUGUCAAAAUCCCUAGGACUUUUUAAAAACCUUAUGCUUUGAUACUAAGUUUGUAACGACCAAAAAUCACCUCCCGGGAAGUCACACGGUGCUUAGGUCUACAAGUAGCCCCAAGUUAACCCUUUGAGCCUAUCACUGCUCAUAAUAACUCAUUCAAGAAGAAAUAUACAAAACAUCAUCACUAUUAUAUCAAAUAAAAGGAAAUACGAAGGUAAUACUCAGUCUAAAUGACCACAAUACUGGAAAUUUCAACACAGCCACAGUCUGAUAACUAGUUUAACAAAUCCUCUAUUACUCCAUAAACUCAAGAGCUAUUAGGACAUGUCCUAAACUAAUCAAACUGAAUUGAAAGUAAUAACAUCAACACUUGAAUACUAAAAUAUCUGAAGAAAUGUCCUCGUACCAUGAGGACUUACCACUAUAGAAUAGUAGAUGAAGGUACUUGAAAAUCACUAACGAGGCUGGGACUGAGCACCUGAACCUACAUUAUAAGACAAUAUAGCACAUAGACAUAUAUGUGGAUCAACACUUAGAAAUGUACUGAGUAUAUGGGGGUGUAUGCAUUUACAUAAAGCAAUAUCAAUACCCUUUAAUCAAAUCAUGCAUACAAAUAGGAAUGAAUCACAUGGCUCUAAUAAUUCUAAAAUGUAAAGCUCAUAAAUCAUUUAGAAUGAAGCAUGCAACACAAAUCUCAUGAGUCAUUAUACUUUGGCUUUAAAAUUUGUGCUCUCCUCUUAUUCUCAUUACUCAUAGGAUGAAGGACGCUUUAAAAAAUAUUUUCAACUCACGCAUAUAUCUCAUGGAGAGUAAACCUUCUUUUUUGCUCAAGAACUUAUAACACUUUUGAACUCAAACACUCGGAACUCGGAAUCAUGACUUUGGUUUAAAAACGGAUGAUCAACUCUUAUUAGUAGAUAAAAUUACUUCCUUCUAUGGAAAAUACUCAAAAGAAAUUUUUCACUUUAGAAAAUAUCUCAUCUCAAAGCUUUAGGGGAAAUAUUUUAUCUCAAUGGAAAAUACUUUAGUUUAGGGAUGUUCUCUUAACCGACAUAAACCAUGCGAGCUACAUAGAGUCCAAUGUCUUGUCCUCCUAAGGAAGAAACCUCACGUUGGGGAGAGACAUCAUACUCUUGCCAAGGAGUAUAACCUCAACUUAGUGAUCACUUAUCUCAGCCUCAGGCCUAAAAUCUCAAACCUAUGGUGGCACUUAGUUUUAGGGUAAGAAACUGUGGUAACUUACCCAACUAGGUGCUAAAUACUACUCCCUUUAGUUUAUCUAACUCAUCUCAUAGAAAUCCACAUUCAAAAUAAUCUCAUGGUUCAUAAGAACCCAAUAAUCAAAUAUGUAAUCUCAUAUGGUAGAGUGGAUUUCAAAACUCUAUGACCUUUAGGUCAAAACAUUUCUCAUUAAUCUCAAAAUUCUUAAAUCAUGGGUGCUUAUAGAACAAUGGUUCAUAAAAUUGCAAGUGUCAAGUAGGGGUUAAUGACCCAUAAUUCAAUCUCAAGUUAAAACUUAUCAUAAUGCAUAAUAGAUAGUAUAUAGAUUCAUAAUUCAUGAAAAAAUCUGGAAGUUACAACAAUUUGUCUUAGAAUAUCAACAUACUCAUAUACUUCAAUUUGUAGAACAUUGAAACUCUUAAAUUCUCAAGGAGUCACAACAUAGGGUAUAAACCUAGCUUUAAUUUAUUAAGAAAACAUGCAAAAUCAUGUUAUUUGACUUUCAAUUCAUGGGAAACAUCAAAAUAUUGCAAUCAAUAACAAUGGGUGAAAAACCCUAAUUCAAUAUCAUGUAAAAUCUCAUAGAUUGCGGAAAAUUAUAGUUUAAAUAAGCCUUUGGGCACAAAGGUGAAAGUAUGACCCUUGUUCAAAACCCCACAUACCUUAGAUUAUGAAAUGAGAUGAAUAAGCUUACUUCAAACUCCUCUUAUUACUCUUGAGAGAGGUUUGUUGCAACCCUUGAACUUGAAGAACUUAAAUCUCAACUCAAUUUGAAGAAUCUAUGGUGAGUUCUUAGAUUUAUUAGAGAAGGGUUUUAGAUUUGAUCUUGAGGGAGAAACCUUAGCUCUCUUAUGUUUUGAGAUGAUGAAUGAAGUCAUUAGCUUUGUUUAGAAUAUAUCUGGUUGGUAAAAGAGUGGAAAGACCGAAAAGUCCCUUUAAAAAAAUUACAUAAAAUACUGAUCGGGGGUUGGGAUGAUCGAAAAGACAGUCCGUCGCUAGCUUGACGGUCCGUCGAUUGUCCAUUGCACGUCGGUCAGAAAAUAAUACACCUCCUCAAUGUAAUGGUCUCAUUGAUGGUCCAUCAUAUACUCGAUGGUCUGUCGGAUCAUCCAUCGCAUGUUGACCAAGAUGAGGUCACACUGCCUCAGCGUCGACGGUCUGUCACAGUCUUAACUGUCUGUAAUCCUGACCCUCGUACUUUGGGACAGAAAAGGGAGUUACUACCUUGGUUGCGAUGGUACAAGAAAUGGUCCAUCAUACACUUGACAUUCCGUCAAUCUGUCCAUCUUACCUAGAUAGUUCCAACAACUCUCGAUAAAACGGCCAUAACUUCCCACCCUAAUGCCGGAUUUGGAUGAAAUUGGUAUCGUUGGAAAGCUAAUUCAAUGCUCGAUAUGAAAAAAAGUCAAAAUUAAUAAAAUUAUAUAUAGUUUAAAUACCAAUCACUUGGAUAGUAUCUUCUCAAUAUUUUAGGGCUGGAAUUACACUUCACUUUACACAUUCAAGGCUCAAACUACAGGGGAACUUUGCCUAGUCAUACACAACCCCUCAUAGAAAAAUUACAUGGUGACUGAGUAGGAGUUACUAAUGGUGGUGUUUGAAUUUCAUAAUUUCCAGUCAUAUCUAAUUGGUACCAAAGUCAUUGUGCAGACCAAUUUUGUAGCCCUUAGGUAUCUUAUGUCAGAUGCUAAGUCCAAUUUUAUUCGAUGGGUACCAUUGUUGCAAGAAUUUGACUUUGAGGUUAAGGAUUAAAAAGCAUAGAAAAUCAGGUUGUGGAUCAUCUAUUCCACCUAGAAGAGGAGGCGAUGCUUGAGCUAAGGGAUGAUCUUGAGAUUGAUGAUCCUUUUCCAGAUGAGCGCGUCUUAACAACAUCACAAAACUUAAUCCCCUAGUUUUCUGACUUUGCCAAUUAUUUGGGAAGUGACCUUUUUUUGGAAACACUUGUUGUUUCAGCUACGAAAAUGAUUUAUGCUUCAGGUAUGUAAGUUCUUUUUGAAUGAGCCUUACUUAUUUUGGGUUUCUAUGGAUGGUGUGAUUCCUAGAUGUAUUCUUGAAGUGGAGAUAAUAAGUAUUUUGGUGGCCUAUCAUUCAUCACCGAUUGGGGGUCACCAUGAUAGUACUCGUACGGCCCAUAAUAUUUUGUAAUGUGGUUAUUACUAGCUGACAAUUUACAAAGAUGCAUAUGACUAUACUUGGGCCUAUGACCAAUGUCAGAGGAAGGGCAAUAUCUCAUGGAAAAAUGAGCUCUCUAUGACAUCGAUUCUUGAGCUAGAGUUACUUUAUGUAUGGGGUAUUGACUUUAUGAGUUUGUUUAUGAUUUUUCAUGGUAUAAAGUACAUAUUAGUUGCAGUCAACUAUAUGUAUAAGUGGGUGGAAGAAGUUUCACUCCCAAUAAUGAUGGUGAUGUAUCACUGCAUUUUUGAAGAAGAAUUUUUUCUCUCAAUUCGGUACCACAUGAGCCAUCAUUAGUGAUAGUGGGUCCAAUUUUUUCAAUGGUUUAUUGAUAAUGCUCAACUUACACGUCAAUUUGGGUGCAAGGUGGUCCUCAUUAAUAUAUUUACCCAACUUUGGAGUCGGGGUUGAAUCCAUGAGGAACAAUGUGAGUGGCAAUCAAAUUAAUUUGAAAUAACAGUUACAAGUUAAAUUCAAACAAAUGGUACAAAAAGAUAAAAUGUGGGAGGUGAGUUCCUACACUAAUGUUUCAUUUUGGGAUUUUCUUGUAUAAAUUUAGGGCUACGAAUAAUUAUAGUUAUAGCAAUUAUGAAUGGAUCUUGGGAUUACGCAUUACUAAGAGAGUGACAUGUGGGAGUUAGUCAUCAACAUCGAUUUAGUAGGUCAAAUAUGGGUAGGUUUGGUUAUAGAUUCUGAUGCUAGUCUUUCAACAAAACACCAGACUUUCACCCAUUGAUCCUUUAGAAUACCUAAUGGGUGUGUUCAAUAAUUAGCAACCAAAACCUCAAUUAAGGUAUCCCUAUUUCUAGGAUGACACUCAUGGCAUAGUUAACCUCACUUUCACUGUUAUUUCUAAGAUAGUGAUAAUUUAGCAAACUACACACAUAAUUGCCUAUUAUUGCUUUGGUCUCCAUAUACUUCUUUUGAGGAUGAUAUAGAUUCCUAAUCUUCACCCAAAAUCCUUCUUUCAAAGAUAGCCUUGGAUUUUCUAGAUCUUGGAUCUUUUACCCAUCAAACCCUUGUGGGUAUUUAGAGCUUUCACCCAAAAAAUCCCAACCAAACUAGCAUAGCAAUAAUAGAACGCAUAAACAUGAACUACCAAAUAGAUGCUAACAAUAACAACCCAGACACACUUUAAUCCCUAUUCACACAUAACCCCAAGAGUGAGAUUUAGCUACAUAUAAGAUAAAUAAGCAUAGAUAUACCCAUAAUCACCAUUAAAUAAAUUUGUGGUAGAUCGAAGAAAAUUUUACUUCAAACUUGGUUCUUCCAUAAUAUAAACAUUGGAAGUGAGAUAAUCUUCCACUUGUAAAGUCUCCAAUGUAUUCUUCACCUAAAAUUUAAACAAUAUUUUCUUCUCCAAAAAUGGAGUCUACAAAACCCUAAGUUAAACUAGAGGAAUAUUGGGGAAGAAGAAAUGUGAUGGAAUGAAUCCUACAUCAAUUAGGGUUUAUGGAAUGAAUCCUACAUCAAUUAGGGUUUUAGUGUUUUUGUUCAAAUUGGGAUCAACACAUGUAAUUAUAGUAUUGCUCUUGGUAUGAACAUUUCCGCCAAGCUAUGAUCGCAUAAGUAUGGCUGCGACCUUGACUACACAACCAGGAUUGACUUUUGCUCUCGCGGUUGAUUGACCAUCUUGACUGAACACGAUCGCGGCCCAUGGACCGCAACAGCGGUAACUGAGUCUAGUUUACUGCAAGUCUUUAGCUGUAUUUUUCUACUCCUUUUUGAUCAUUUCAAGCUCCAAUCCACAUCUCUUUGUCUUUACAACUCCUAUACCUGCAACGAGUGGAUAUCAGUACAUUAAAUCACAGUUAUGACUUAUUUACUCAUUUGAGACAAGGUAAUGUGCACAAAAAAUAAGUGUGAAUAAGUGGUAAAAUCACUAAUCAUCAACACCGCCAACUUAAGACCUUGCUUGUCCUCAAGCAACACUACCUGUUUUCCAUGAGCCACAAUUAUUUAUGCCCAAAUUGUAUGUCUUAAAGUCCAUAAUGGUUCCAACUUGAAUUGCAACCAUAAAUAGCUCAUUGGACACGUGCUAGACUAAUUUUACAAACCCCUCAUUAUAGAAUACAAUACUCAAAGAAUGCAGAAGACUUUGAAGAGUAAUAAAACAAUAAAAACCAAUACUCUAGAAGUAGCUCACCUUUUGACUAAAACUAAAGCAUACUCCAGUUGCCUCAUUAUCCGGGAUGUGAGAAAAAUUACUCACCUCAACUUGUUUUCUUGCCCAUCUCACAAGAAAGAAAAGUUUCACACACCAAACUACCGAACAAGUAACAAGGAAUUUUUAAGUGCAAAAUUCUCCCCUCACAAAAGAAAUCUCAACGCAACAAGUGUCAUGCCAUAGGGUUGCCCUUAUUUUCAAUCACCACUACAAAGAAGGUAAAAUUUUGGAGAUCUCGAAGGACUUUAUAAGCUUGUAACGUAGGUUCUGGUCAGGGUAGGAUAACAUUUAGGUAACUAGGUUACACCAUACCUUGAACAUCUACAUCACACUUUACAACUCUCCUCCUUUCGACUUUGGGCCACUCUAUUUUUCUUUAUUUCUUUGUUCAUGCCUAUCUUUUGCCUCCUUCUCCCCACUUUUAUUUUACUUUUAUUUCCAUGCAUUUUCUGACAUUUAUUUUAUGGGUACUUAUUAUUCCCAUACAUAAUUUUUUGAACAUCACUAAAAUCCAUAACAAAAUUUAUGGUAUAUAUAGAAGACUAAAACUAGAAAUAAAAGAAAAACAUGAUAAUCCAUAAAACUUGGGAACCAUCCGAAUACCUAAAAAUAUAGCAUCCAAAGGAAAACAUGAGAAAAAAUAUCCAAAACAUUAUCAAAAGAAAUAUCCAGCAAUAUAACACCAAACAAUAUAGAAUCUGGUGUCAGCCCCUACUUAAAUAAAUGCAGUGUCCAUAUUGCAUAUGCAAGAAGGAAGAGUAAAAAGGGCUCCCUAUAUCUAUAUCAUGAGCUAUCUCCUCCUAUAGACUCUGUAUUAUCAGAUAACCAUUCUGCAGGGGCAUCAUCCACACUAUCAACUCUUAGUGAAGGUAUUAGUUGGUUGGGUUUGAGAACCUUGAAUAUGCCUUUCACCCCUUCAAUAGCCUUUUGAAAAAAUUUAUCCCUCUUUUUCUCCUUCUUCACCAUCUCAUUAUGUGAGUCUUUUAGGCUCCUAUGGGAUUUAGCUAGGGAUGAAUAAGCUCUCUCCAAGAUGAAAACUAUGGUACCCUGCUUCUUCUACUCUUUUAUAUACUUAUCAUAAUCUGAUUAUGCCACAUAUGAAUGAUGAGUAGUGGAGGACUCUCCUAGUCCCUGAGGUAAUCGAGAAAAUAUCUUUCUUAUCCCCUAUAUUUGAACAGAAAUAUCA
rnacentral:lncRNA from 1 species